GACGAAGGUGGCAAGCGUUGUUCGGAUUCACUGGGCAUAAAGGGCGCGUAGGCGGUUCCGAAAGUGGCGUGUGAAAUCCCCCGGCUCAACCGGGGAAGUGCACGCCAAACUUCGGUUCUCGAGGACGGUAGGGGGGACUGGAACUCUCGGUGGAGCGGUGAAAUGCGUAGAUAUCGAGAGGAACACCGGCGGCGAAGGCGAGUCCCUGGUCCGUUUCUGACGCUGAGGCGCGAAAGCGUGGGUAGCAAACAGGAUUAGAUACCCUGGUAGUCCACGCCGUAAACGAUGGGCACUAGGUAGCGGCCGGAUCCGACCGGUCGCUGCUGACGGAAAUCCAUUAAGUGCCCCGCCUGGGGAGUAUGGUCGCAAGGCUGAA
rnacentral:rRNA from 1 species